UACGUAGGGGGCUAGCGUUGUCCGGAUUUAUUGGGCGUAAAGAGCGUGUAGGCGGCCAGAUAGGUCUGCUGUGAAAACUCGAGGCUCAACCUCGAGAUGUCGGCGGAAACCAUUUGGCUAGAGUCCGGAAGAGGAAAGUGGAAUUCCUGGUGUAGCGGUGAAAUGCGCAGAUAUCGGGAGGAACACCAGUAGCGAAGGCGGCUCGCUGGGCCACACCUGACGCUGAGACGCGAAAGCUAGGGGAGCGAACAGG
rnacentral:rRNA from 1 species